UGGGGAAUAUUGCACAAUGGGCGCAAGCCUGAUGCAGCAACGCCGCGUGAGGGACGACGGCCUUCGGGUUGUAAACCUCUUUUAGUAGGGAAGAGGCGAAAGUGACGGUACCUGCAGAAAAAGCACCGGCUAACUACGUGCCAGCAGCCGCGGUAAUACGUAGGGUGCGAGCGUUGUCCGGAAUUAUUGGGCGUAAAGAGCUCGUAGGCGGUCUGUCGCGUCUGCUGUGAAAACCCCGAGGCUCAACCUCGGGCCUGCAGUGGGUACGGGCAGACUAGAGUGCGGUAGGGGAGAAUGGAAUUCCUGGUGUAGCGGUGGAAUGCGCAGAUAUCAGGAGGAACACCGAUGGCGAAGGCAGUUCUCUGGGCCGUAACUGACGCUGAGGAGCGAAAGCGUGGGGAGCGAACAGGAUUAGAUACCCUGGUAGUCCACGCCGUAAACGUUGGGCGCUAGAUGUGGGGACCAUUCCACGGUUUCCGUGUCGCAGCUAACGCAUUAA
rnacentral:rRNA from 1 species